GUGGGGAAUCUUAGACAAUGGGGGAAACCCUGAUCUAGCCAUGCCGCGUGAGCGAUGAAGGCCUUAGGGUUGUAAAGCUCUUUCAGCUGGGAAGAUAAUGACUGUACCCACAGAAGAAGCCCCGGCUAACUCCGUGCCAGCAGCCGCGGUAAUACGGAGGGGGCUAGCGUUGUUCGGAAUUACUGGGCGUAAAGCGCACGUAGGCGGAACAGAAAGUCAGAGGUGAAAUCCCAGGGCUCAACCUUGGAACUGCCUUUGAAAUUCCUGUUCUUGAGUUCGAGAGAGGUGAGUGGAAUUCCGAGUGUAGAGGUGAAAUUCGUAGAUAUUCGGAGGAACACCAGUGGCGAAGGCGGCUCACUGGCUCGAUACUGACGCUGAGGUGCGAAAGCGUGGGGAGCAAACAGGAUUAGAAACCCCGGUAGUCC
rnacentral:rRNA from 1 species